AGUGAACGCUGGCGGUAGGCCUAACACAUGCAAGUCGAACGGCAGCACAGUAAGAGCUUGCUCUUACGGGUGGCGAGUGGCGGACGGGUGAGGAAUACAUCGGAAUCUACUUUUUCGUGGGGGAUAACGUAGGGAAACUUACGCUAAUACCUCAUACGACCUACGGGUGAAAGCAGGGGAUCUUCGGACCUUGCGCGAUUGAAUGAGCCGAUGUCGGAUUAGCUAGUUGGCGGGGUAAAGGCCCACCAAGGCGACGAUCCGUAGCUGGUCUGAGAGGAUGAUCAGCCACACUGGAACUGAGACACGGUCCAGACUCCUACGGGAGGCAGCAGUGGGGAAUAUUGGACAAUGGGCGCAAGCCUGAUCCAGCAAUACCGCGUGGGUGAAGAAGGCCUUCGGGUUGUAAAGCCCUUUUGUUGGGAAAGAAAAGAAGCAGGUUAAUACCCCGCUGUUCUGACGGUACCCAAAGAAUAAGCACCGGCUAACUUCGUG
rnacentral:rRNA from 1 species